AAAUCCUACGGUUUUUAUAAAAUUAUAUCCAUUCGGUUUAUAUGGUAUAUACGAAAACCAAACCAUAUUAUCUAUUUCGGUUCGGUUCGGUUCGGUACGGUUCGGUUUUACCAUAUUGAACAGCCCUAGAGAAAACCGUUAGUAUUAUGGAAAAAAAAAAAGAAAAGGAAAUCUAAAAAAAUACAUUCCGAUCUCCAUCUUUCUCUGUGAGAAAGACGAUUAUAAUGGAGACAGUGAGAUUAUGCCGAAAUAAAUGAAAAAAAUAUUUUGUUGAUUAUGUUUUAAUGUUAAAAGUCCAUAAUAUAUGAUAGACUAAGAUUUUGUUAGUGUUAGUUUGAAUUUUGUGUG
rnacentral:lncRNA from 1 species